rnacentral:rRNA from 1 species
GAUGAACGCUGGCGGCGUGCCUAAUACAUGCAAGUCGAGCGAACGGACGAGAAGCUUGCUUCUCUGAUGUUAGCGGCGGACGGGUGAGUAACACGUGGAUAACCUACCUAUAAGACUGGGAUAACUUCGGGAAACCGGAGCUAAUACCGGAUAAUAUUUUGAACCGCAUGGUUCAAAAGUGAAAGACGGUCUUGCUGUCACUUAUAGAUGGAUCCGCGCUGCAUUAGCUAGUUGGUAAGGUAACGGCUUACCAAGGCAACGAUGCAUAGCCGACCUGAGAGGGUGAUCGGCCACACUGGAACUGAGACACGGUCCAGACUCCUACGGGAGGCAGCAGUAGGGAAUCUUCCGCAAUGGGCGAAAGCCUGACGGAGCAACGCCGCGUGAGUGAUGAAGGUCUUCGGAUUGCAAAACUCUGUUAUUAGGGAAGAACAUAUGUGUAAGUAACUGUGCACAUCUUGACGGUACCUAAUCAGAAAGCCACGGCUAACUACGUGCCAGCAGCCGCGGUAAUACGUAUGUGGCAAGCGUUAUCCGGAAUUAUUGGGCGUAAAGCGCGCGUAGCGGUUUUUUAAGUCUGAUGUGAAAGCCCACGGCUCAACCGUGGAGGGUCAUUGGAAACUGGAAAACUUGAGUGCAGAAGAGGAAAGUGGAAUUCCAUGUGUAGCGGUGAAAUGCGCAGAGAUAUGGAGGAACACCAGUGGCGAAGGCGACUUUCUGGUCUGUAACUGACGCUGAUGUGCGAAAGCGUGGGGAUCAAACAGGAUUAGAUACCCUGGUAGUCCACGCCGUAAACGAUGAGUGCUAAGUGUUAGGGGGUUUCCGCCCCUUAGUGCUGCAGCUAACGCAUUAAGCACUCCGCCUGGGGAGUACGACCGCAAGGUUGAAACUCAAAGGAAUUGACGGGGACCCGCACAAGCGGUGGAGCAUGUGGUUUAAUUCGAAGCAACGCGAAGAACCUUACCAAAUCUUGACAUCCUUUGACAACUCUAGAGAUAGAGCUUUCCCCUUCGGGGGACAAAGUGACAGGUGGUGCAUGGUUGUCGUCAGCUCGUGUCGUGAGAUGUUGGGUUAAGUCCCGCAACGAGCGCAACCCUUAAGCUUAGUUGCCAUCAUUAAGUUGGGCACUCUAAGUUGACUGCCGGUGACAAACCGGAGGAAGGUGGGGAUGACGUCAAAUCAUCAUGCCCCUUAUGAUUUGGGCUACACACGUGCUACAAUGGACAAUACAAAGGGCAGCGAAACCGUGAGGUCAAGCAAAUCCCAUAAAGUUGUUCUCAGUUCGGAUUGUAGUCUGCAACUCGACUACAUGAAGCUGGAAUCGCUAGUAAUCGUAGAUCAGCACGCUACGGUGAAUACGUUCCCGGGUCU